UGGUCAAGUUAUUAAGGGUGCAGGGCGGAUGCCUUGGCACUAGGAGCCGAUGAAGGACGUGAUAAGCUGCGAUAAGCUUCGGGGAGUUGCACGUAAACUUUGAUCCGAAGAUUUCCGAAUGAGGAAACUCACUUAGAGUAAUGUCUAAGUAUCAUUAAGUGAAUACAUAGCUUAAUGAGGGGAACUCAGGGAACUGAAACAUCUAAGUACCUGAAGGAAGAGAAAGAAAUUCGAUUCCGUAAGUAGCGGCGAGCGAACGCGGAUUAGCCCAAACCAAUAAAGUUUUCUUUAUUGGGGUUGCGGACAUAUCAUAACGAAGAGGUAUCGUAAUUGAAGAGGUUUGGAAAGACCCACCACAGAAGGUAAUAGUCCUGUAUGUUAAACGAGAAGACUUCAGAUAUGAUCCAGAGUACCACGGGACACGUGAAACCCUGUGGGAAGCAGGAGGGACCACCCUCCAAGGCUAAAUACUACCUAGUGACCGAUAGCGUAUAGUACCGUGAGGGAAAGGUGAAAAGAACCCCGGGAGGGGAGUGAAAUAGAACCUGAAACCCUGCACUUACAAGCUGUGGAAGCACAUUUCUUGUGUGACCGCGUACUUUUUGUAGAACGGGCCAACGAGUUACGUUAAGUAGCAAGGUUAAGCACUUAAGGUGCGGAGCCGUAGCGAAAGCGAGUUUUAACUGAGCGUUCAGUUACUUGACGUAGACCCGAAACCGGGCGACCUACCCAUGAGCAGGAUGAAGCGAAAGUAAAAUUUCGUGGAGGUCCGAACCCACGAGCGUUGAAAAGCUCGGGGAUGACUUGUGGGUAGCGGUGAAAUUCCAAUCGAGCCCGGAGAUAGCUGGUUCUCCCCGAAAUAGCUUUAGGGCUAGCCUCAAGGUGAGAGAUACGGAGGUAGAGCACUGAAUGUCCUAGGGGGUAUUGCACCUACCGAAGACUAUUAAACUCCGAAUGCCGUCAUCUUAUACUUGGGAGUCAGACUGUGGGUGAUAAGAUUCAUAGUCGAAAGGGCAACAGCCCAGAUCGUCAGCUAAGGUCCCUAAAUGUAAGUUAAGUGGUAAAGGAUGUGGGAUUGCACAGACAACCAGGAUGUUGGCUUAGAAGCAGCCACUCAUUCAAAGAGUGCGUAAUAGCUCACUGGUCGAGUGAUCCUGCGCCGAAGAUUUCCGGGGCUAAAACUUACUACCGAAGCUACGGCAUCAGUAAUGAUGGGUAGGGGAGCUUCCCAUACGGGUUGAAGCAUGACCGUAAGGACAUGUGGACAGUAUGGGAGUGAGAAUGUUGGCAUGAGUAGCGAGAUGUGGGUGAGAAUCCCACAGGCCGUAAACCCAAGGUUUCCAGGGGAAGGUUCGUCCGCCCUGGGUUAGUCGGGACCUAAGCUGAGGCCGAAAGGCGUAGGUGAUGGACAACAGGUUGAUAUUCCUGUACUACCGAUAACCGUUUGAGAGAAGGGAUGACACAGUAGGAUAAGCUAAGCACACUGUUGGUUAUGUGUGCCCAAGCAUUGAGGCAGUCAAAGUAGGCAAAUCCGCUUUGAUAAUGCUGGGAUGUGAUGGGGAGCGAAAUUUAGUAGCGAAGUAGCUGAUUUCACACUGUCAAGAAAAGUCUCUAUCGAGGUUAAAGGUACCCGUACCGCAAACCGACACAGGUGGGUGAGGAGAGUAUCCUAAGGCCAGCGAGAGAACUGUUGUUAAGGAACUCGGCAAAAUGACCCCGUAACUUAGGGAUAAGGGGUGCCACCAUCAGGUGGCCGCAGAGAAUAGGCCCAAGCGACUGUUUACCAAAAACAUAGGUUUCUGCUAAGUCGCAAGACGAUGUAUAGGAGCUGACGCCUGCCCGGUGCUGGAAGGUUAAGGGAUCUGUUAGAGCAAUCGAAGCAGUGAACUUAAGCCCCAGUAAACGGCGGCCGUAACUAUAACGGUCCUAAGGUAGCGAAAUUCCUUGUCGGGUAAGUUCCGACCCGCACGAAAGGCGUAACGAUUUGGGCACUGUCUCAACAACAGACUCGGUGAAAUUGUAAUUCCGGUGAAGAUGCCGGAUACCUGCGACAGGACGGAAAGACCCCAUGGAGCUUUACUGUAGCUUGACAUUGGGUUUUGGUACUACAUGUACAGGAUAGGUGGGAGGCUUUGAAACCAGGACGCCAGUUUUGGCGGAGCCAUCCUUGGGAUACCACCCUUGUAGUACUGGGACUCUAACCAUAGGCCAUGAAUCUGGUCUUGGGACACUGUCAGGCGGGCAGUUUGACUGGGGCGGUCGCCUCCCAAAAGGUAACGGAGGCGCUCAAAGGUUCUCUCAGUACGGUCGGAAAUCGUACGUAGAGUGUAAAGGCAAAAGAGAGCUUGAUUGCAAGACAUACAGGUCGAGCAAGGAUGAAAAUCGGACUUAGUGAUCCGGUGGUUCUGCGUGGAAGGGCCAUCGCUCAACGGAUAAAAGCUACCCUGGGGAUAACAGGCUUAUCUCCCCCAAGAGUCCACAUCGACGGGGAGGUUUGGCACCUCGAUGUCGGCUCAUCACAUCCUGGGGCUGUAGUAGGUCCCAAGGGUUGGGCUGUUCGCCCAUUAAAGUGGUACGCGAGCUGGGUUCAGAACGUCGUGAGACAGUUCGGUCCCUAUCCGUCGCAGGCGUAGGAAAUUUGAGAAGACCUGUCCUUAGUACGAGAGGACCGGGAUGGACGUACCUCUGGUGUACCAGUUGUCCUGCCAAGGGCAUGGCUGGGUAGCUAUGUACGGAAUGGAUAAGCGCUGAAAGCAUCUAAGCGCGAAGCCAACUUCAAGAUAAGAUUUCCCACCGCAAGGGUAAGACCCCAGAAAGACUAUCUGGUUGAUAGGUCGAAGGUGUAAGUGCAGCAAUGUAUUUAGCUUAUCGAUACUAAUAGGUCGAGGACUUGACCAAU
rnacentral:rRNA from 1 species